ACCAUGGGUGCAAGACAGGAAGAAGUGAGACGCAACGAAGAGCCGUGAGACACGAGGAGUGCAGAUAAACCACAGAUACACAGCUGUGCCCUUUUUACAGAGAGACUGUGUGCACGUGUCACAGCAUUGACACAAACAGAGGCAAAGGCAGUGAGAUAAAUCAAAGAACAUUAAAGUCCAGGAGAAGGUGCUUUAAGCUGUUCCCAUGCUUCCUGUGAGGUCACAAAGUAACAGUCAACGUAAAUAGAUUUUUUUCCUUCUAACUAUAGACACUAGCAGGUAAACGCAUUGACUGGAGGAAAGUGUAAACACCGGCUCAAAAUACUUCGAAUUCAAAUGAUUCUGAUUCUGUCACACUUUAUUUAAUUAUUUUUAUUUUUUUUACAAAUUGACAGCUUGUUAUUUCUUCAAAAAUUGCACUGAAAUUAUCCAUUGAAGCACAAGGAUAUUUCAACAUUCCUCAGCUAAAAUAUCAGCCAACGUCACCCUCGAUUUCUGCAUAGAAAUCUGCAAAGAAAUCCCCUUCAGAAGUUAAGUUUUUCCAAAGGCAGUGAAAAUAAAAGUUCCCAAUCAUCGGAUCAGGUGGUACACCAAUAAUCUCAAAAACCACUCAAGAUGAUCACUUGAAAUUUUCUUCAUUUAGUAUCAAACCAAAAAAAAAAAACGAUUUAGCUAAUGGGCUAAUUUUAUUUUAUUUUUUUCCUGCAGGCACCUAUUAUUAACACUUAGAAAUCAUCUUCCUCUUGUGUGCCAAAGAACUUGCACGAGUUACAGAACUUCCUUCCACGCACACAAACAGGCCAGUAAACAGCAGAGACACCCUAGCAUACGUGCGAGGCUACACGCUCACCACUAACCAGGGCAGAGUAUAACCAUAGGUAUCUGUAACCAGAGAACGUCUUGGUCAUGCCCGGCGUCCAGGCAGGAGUCCAGUUCUCACGGGGGGGGCGUGUAACUGCCAGGUUUCACGGCACACAGUGAGCACAUCACCGACACCGUGUGUUAUCUCCAGCAAACCAAGAGCUGUGCCGUGCAGAAAGGACCCACCGGAGCUGGACCGGCCUACACUGACUGACCUGGGACUCACAGCAGGUGUUAGGGUUCCGACCGCACUGGUGGUAAGCCCACUCGACGCUGGAGCCCUACCUCGGGACAGGGUCAUUCACAAGGCUUUCCAGAACCGCUGUUGGGCCGGCAUUUACAGCACCAGUCUUGCAUUAGUGCUGACAGCACACACGAGGUGGGACGAGUCACCCCUGUGUAGCAGAAAAUCACCACUCUCUAGAAGAUAGCUGCACCAUGCGGUGUUUGACAAUUAUGCUUGCCUGCUACUCAGAACCCGAUCAGCUCUGACCUGCAGAUACAGGUUAGACCUCAGGAGUAAAGAAGGGCACCACGAACGAUCCAAUCUGCCACCGCAUACUGUAACAACGAGCCGGACAUAGUAAAAAUAUGACACCUGGCUGAUGACGGUUGACCUCAUACUCAACACGACAACAAUGUCUCGCAGACAUGGAAAAAAGGCAUAAAUAACAAGCAAAAGAAUACAGAGAGCUCUUUCCAACUCCACAGGGAUCCUGCCACACAAGCCAGCGGAUAACCAGGAACGUUAACCUUGGCCUCAGGUUGGAUUCAGGGAGUUAAAAUAUCUGCUACCCCGUUGCCACUGACGACAGCCGCAAAGUGGACGCCAACUGGUGAGGACGAGCGGCUGGAACAUGCCGUCCCAGAUCGUAUCCCAUGACCUCUGAGUAUUCCCCUGUUACCGGAGCUGCCUGGGCACCUUUCUGGGCCAAAAUAAGCCUUCUGGUUACCUUUCACACUCUUCCGUGAGAUGCUGGGAUCACUGCGUCUGAAAGGACUUGGAGUUUCAAAAUUAAGCCAUCAGAGUGACCCUGCAUAUUUAAACGCUGACCAUUAAUAUACAACCAUUACACUAAUACACCAUGACAACCCAGAGGUUCUGAGAGGGACCUGGUGUAUGGAUCGGUGGAGGGCAACACUAUGAUAAAAUGGGAGGGCAAUUUACAGCUAGGGGGAAGACAAGGGUGACAAAAGCAUCUUUUUAUGACUUCCCCUUGAAAAAAGCAGCACCACUGGCCCCAGACUGGCAGCUCCUGACAUGAGGUGUGACCAGAAACCUACCCCCUCCUCCCCCUCCAGUUUGGCACACUUAUGUGGAAAAACACAGAUCCUGGCAUCUGCCCGUUUCCAACCGAUUUGUAUGGUGACUACAACAACACAUGGAAAUACGCCAGUGGAUGGCGUUACCUAUCAUAAGCGUGACAUCAGCAGCGCUUUCAAACAGCCUUACACCUUGAAUCAUGCAUACAGAAGGCAGCCAGACACCACAAGCAGAACACAAACAUCUCACCGUAAGCAAAGCUGCUUUUCCACUACAUGGUCACAGUGAGCCUGGAGCCUGUCCCGGGCAGCACAGGGCACGAGGCGGGGGUUCACCUGGCACAGGGACUGACGCUUCAGCUACAGUAUCACCAGAAUUUUUCCCCUGGACGAUCACUUACCUCAUGAGAACUAUGAGGGAUGAAAUCGCACAGCCGGCCAGUAGAGGGAGCCACGCUCACUAUAUGAUAGUGGUGGGUGGAUCGAUCCAAGUAUCGAUAAUAUUGAUAAUAAUAUUGGUAUUGAUAUUGAUCAAUAUCAGUUUAAGGAGAUCGAUACUCUAGUUUCAGUCUCUCUCCUGAAUGCACUGCUGCUGUCUGUGUGAGCUGAGAGGACAGUUUCUAAGUACCAGGCGAAGUGCAAUAAAAUCGCAAUGUGUGAACAUGAUACUGUUCCUGAACAAAAAACCUUUAAUAUGUUCUGCACAGGGGGUGGGGGAUAUUCCUUUGAGCGUUUUUACACUUUAUUGUAUUUUUAAUUGUACUUUGUUUAUUGUAUUUUCAGUAAUCAUUUUUUAUUUUUUUUUCAAAGCCAGUUCUCUAAUUUAGUGCACUUUAUGUAAGAAAAAGACAUUUUGUGUUACUUGUUGUAUUUAUUUACUAAUAAACUUUGCCCAAAUUC